rnacentral:rRNA from 1 species
CGCGUAGGCGGUUUUGUAAGUCGAAUGUGAAAGCCCCGGGCUUAACCUGGGAAUUGCGUUCGAUACUGCGAAACUAGAGUACGGUAGAGGGAAGUGGAAUUCCGGGUGUAGCGGUGAAAUGCGUAGAUAUCCGGAGGAACACCAGUGGCGAAGGCGACUCCCUGGGCCAGUACUGACGCUGAGGUGCGAAAGCGUGGGGAGCAAACA